GGAGGGGUGACCGAGUGGUUUAUGGUGGCGGUCUUGAAAACCGUUUUCGCCUUUUUGGCGAACGUGGGUUCGAAUCCCACCCCCUCCGCCA
rnacentral:tRNA from 1 species